rnacentral:lncRNA from 1 species
AAAGAAAAUAGAGUCUACAUACUAAGAUCAAUAUAUCUAGAUAGAAGAUCAACCUUGAACAAAAAGUAGUGAACGAGAAGAUUGUCUAUUUUGAUCAUGCAACUUAGCUUUUAUUGAUUUUAUAUUGGUCAAAAAGUACAGGUGUGUGUGUUUCCCCUACAAGGACAUUGAGACUCAAAGACCUUAGUAGGUGUAUAACACAUUUUGGUGGUAAGAAUUUUAUGGUGGCAAAAAUCCAUGUGCAGUGGUUUUUG